rnacentral:rRNA from 1 species
GAUGAACGCUAGCGAUAGGCUUAACACAUGCAAGUCGAGGGGCAGCAUGGUCUUAGCUUGCUCAGACUGAUGGCGACCGGCGCACGGGUGCGUAACGCGUAUGCAACUUGCCUCACAGAGGGGGAUAACCCGUCGAAAGACGGACUAAUACCGCGUACACUCCAUCUUGGGCAUCCAAGGUAGAGGAAAUGAAAUUCGCUGUGAGAUAGGCAUGCGUCCCAUUAGCUAGUUGGUGAGGUAACGGCUCACCAAGGCGACGAUGGGUAGGGGAACUGAGAGGUUGAACCCCCACACUGGUACUGAGACACGGACCAGACUCAUACGGGAGGCAGCAGUGAGGAAUAUUGGUCAAUGGGCGAGAGCCUGAACCAGCCAAGUCGCGUGAAGGAUGACUGUCUUAUGGAUUGUAAACUUCUUUUAUACGGGAAUAACAAGAGUCACGUGUGACUCCCUGCAUGUACCGUAUGAAUAAGCAUCGGCUAACUCCGUG